CUAACAGAACCAACAGAAAUAUGCCAUCUAGAAAGAUGGAGAAGUCGCGUACAGGAAUCUUCUCUUUGUGCCUUAAAUUGUAUCCGGGGCAGAUACGAGGCAAGUAAAUAGUGUUAUUAUGUGGUCGAGUCUUUACAACGUUAGAACCCCAUUGAUUAAUGUUUUCAUCAUGUUGCAUUUCAGAUCAAGUUCAUUGUCGAUGGUAAAUGGCGGAUUGAUCCCCUACGCCCAAUUGUUCGCAACAACGGAUACGAAAACAACGUCCUGAUCAUAACAUAACACACACAACAGAGGUCCCCCAGCAAGCGUAAGGGGAUAUUCAUCGAAAACAAGCAGCAAUUCUUCCCCAGAUUCAACAUUAUAGGCAGUAGAUUUUAACUCGUGAUUCUUUUAUGUCAUGCUUCAUACGUAACAUGGUGUCGUUUUUUCCUUUUUCAUGUAAAACCCGAAUUUUUUAAUUGUGAUAAGGAAUUCAAUGAGGAGUUUUCCAUCUCGACAAUCACUCUGCAGCGCUUCUUGUUUCGAAAGCUCGGGUAAAUGGUUUGUUAAUCUGUCUGAGAACAGCGACGUGAAGUUCUUACGACAAUUGUAAACCCGCUACCGCAGUAAAUCUCGAUUGUGUCCGCUUCUUUCCGAAAUCUGUGGCCGAAACUCACUUCUUGAGGACUCGUUUGGUUCAUCUGUAUUUCCCAAGCCAAGCUGACCAUGUUCACCCCAACCCCAUGUCUUAAUCACUCCAUCCUCGGUCACAAUAGCAGAGUGCUCAGCUCCAAGAGUGACAAUUGCACAAUCUGUUCGAGGUCGGGGAC
rnacentral:sRNA from 1 species